AGCGGUUCUUAAAUAAGAGUUUUAAGAACCGGCUCUUAACUUUUUUAGUUAAAAGUUAAGAGACGGAUUGUUAUAUUCCGCUAAGAACUCCACUCCAAGAACCCCUGUAAUCAUGCUCUGACAAGAAGAUUUUUUUGUUUCAGUUUUUCUUUCUUCAAUCCCUCUUUCUCGCACCCCUAACGCCGCCGGAGAUUUGCAACCUCACCGGUCGUAACCGUUCGUUUCGCGGCUCUGCUUCGUCGGAUUCCGUAUGGGAGAAGAAGCUACCCCCGAAUUAUCACGAUCCGCUUGAUUUGUUACCGUCUUAACCUCUCACGGUUUUGGACUUUUUCAUAAAUGCCCUUUGAAUUUUAAUUGGAUUUGGGGAUUAGGGUAAUAAGAAGAGGAAUCUCCGGUUUGUUUAGUGGUGUGGGAUGCUCCAUAAACUGUAGAUGUGAAGGGUGUAAGAACGCAUUUGGCCGCAAAGAUGGUUAAGCUUCUCUUCUUCUGAGUUUUCACUGCUAAACAGUCUCAAGUUCAAGGAAGAAGAUGAAGAUGAAAACUCCGACCAAAGUCGAUACCUUUGGGUUCAAAAGAAUCGGAACAGAGACUUCAGUGUCUGUGUGCAGAAGUUGAGUUGUUGAAAGAGAGGAUGGCGAAGCUACUGCGUCGUGAAGACAUGUCAGGUUCUGGUAAGGAGUUUGUCCAGCUCAUUCCGGGAAGAUGGAGAUAAAUGGUGGCUUCCUCUCUGCCACGUGUGCCUUCUGAUGGACUCUCUGAGCAGUCUAGGAAGAAGCUAGACCACUCGUGAUUUCACUAACCAAAUCUUGAAAGCGUGUAUGUCAAUCAACAGCAUUGCUUUAGCUGAAUGGAAAUUCCACAAGCAUACCAUGAAGCUCUUCCAAAAGAACGGGAGACCAUGUCUGGGAGAUUUUCUUUUUAUAAACAUCACUCUUGAUAACUUCUCAGCAGAUUACUUGCUGGAGUCAAUAGAUCUUUCAUCUCAACAUGCUGUUGUGGAGAUGGCGAAUAGAGUAGAAGCAUCAAUGUACAUUUGGAGGAGAAGAGCUUAUUCAUGCAUUUGAUUUCAAUGUAUAGAUCCACUGGUGCAAGACCCUCUUGGGGGAUGAUAGUGAAAGAGAUGAACCAAACGGUAACACCAUCGAAAUUAAACCAAUACAUUAUUACUUAGUCAUUAAUUCGUAACUAAACCAAUACAUUUGUAAAAUCGUAAUUAAAACCAGUACAUUUGUAUGUUACUUAAUUUAUUAAAUUUUUAGUUUCCUUA